rnacentral:rRNA from 1 species
GAUGAACGCUAGCGGGAGGCCUAACACAUGCAAGCCGAGCGGGAUUUGUUGGUUAGCUUGCUAACUAACAAUGAGAGCGGCGUACGGGUGCGUAGCACGUGUGCAACCUGCCUUUAUCUGGGGGAUAGCCUUUCGAAAGGAAGAUUAAUACCCCAUAACAUAUUGAUUGGCAUCAGUUAAUAUUGAAAGCUCCGGCGGAUAGAGAUGGGCACGCGUAAGAUUAGCUAGUUGGUGAGGUAACGGCUCACCAAGGCUGCGAUCUUUAGGGGGCCUGAGAGGGUGAUACCCCAAACUGGUACUGAGACACGGACAAGACUCCUACGGGAGGCAGCAGUGAGGAAUAUUGGACAAUGGGUGAGAGCCUGAUCCAGCCAUCCCGCGUGAAGGACUAAGGACCUAUGGUUUGUAAACUUCUUUUAUACAGGGAUAAACCUACUCUCGUGAGGGUAGCUGAAGGUACUGUAUGAAUAAGCACCGGCUAACUCCGUG